AACUCUGGUCUCCCUUCCCAUCAGAGCACAACACUGUUCACAGCUGUUAGUAAAGGAGGAAGAGUGAUGCUCAAGAUGGUCUAGCAGGGUUGCUGUUUGGUCAGUGCAUGUGAGCUAGAUUUAAACAGGG
ensembl:snoRNA predicted gene, 22986